rnacentral:rRNA from 2 species
GCUUGCUCCCGGAUGUUAGCGGCGGACGGGUGAGUAACACGUGGGUAACCUGCCUGUGAGACUGGGAUAACUCCGGGAAACCGGAGCUAAUACCGGAUAGUUCCUUGAACCGCAUGGUUCAAGGAUGAAAGACGGUUUCGGCUGUCACUUACAGAUGGACCCGCGGCGCAUUAGCUAGUUGGUGAGGUAACGGCUCACCAAGGCGACGAUGCGUAGCCGACCUGAGAGGGUGAUCGGCCACACUGGGACUGAGACACGGCCCAGACUCCUACGGGAGGCAGCAGUAGGGAAUCUUCCGCAAUGGACGAAAGUCUGACGGAGCAACGCCGCGUGAGUGAUGAAGGUUUUCGGAUCGUAAAGCUCUGUUGUUAGGGAAGAACAAGUGCAAGAGUAACUGCUUGCACCUUGACGGUACCUAACCAGAAAGCCACGGCUAACUACGUGCCAGCAGCCGCGGUAAUACGUAGGUGGCAAGCGUUGUCCGGAAUUAUUGGGCGUAAAGGGCUCGCAGGCGGUUUCUUAAGUCUGAUGUGAAAGCCCCCGGCUCAACCGGGGAGGGUCAUUGGAAACUGGGAAACUUGAGUGCAGAAGAGGAGAGUGGAAUUCCACGUGUAGCGGUGAGAUGCGUAAACAUGUGGAGGAACACCAGUGGCGAAGGCGACUCUCUGGUCUGUAACUGACACUGAGGAGCGAACGCGUGGGGAGCGAACAGGAUUAGAUACCCUGGUAGUCCACGCCGUAUACGAUGAGUGCUAAGUGUUAGGGGGUUUCCGCCCCUUAGUGCUGCAGCUAACGCAUUAAGCACUCCGCCUGGGGAGUACUGUCGCAAGACUGAGACUCAAGGAGUUGACGGGGGCCCGGCACAAGCGGUGGAGCAUGUGGUAUAAUUCGAAGCAACGCGACGAACCAUUACCAGGUCGUGACAUGCCUCUGACACCCUAAAGAUGGGGCUUGUCCCCUUCGUGGACAGAGUGACAGGUGUGGUUGCAUGGCUGUUCGUCGCUCG